GACCCCCAAAGCACAUUAGGGUCCUGCCCCCACAUGGGAACAGACUAGAAAGAGAAAUCAUGGCCCACUGACCCACACAGCAAGGCCCACUGAGCCACAAAAUCUUACACUGAUUCUCAGGCCCCCAAACAAUACAAGUCCCAAGGACAAAGCAUGAGCUACCAUGAAUCAACUUCUCAAAUCACCGAAACAGCCGACAGUCGUUACUAAAUACGGUUUGAAUGAAACCAGAAAGAGAUCACGUGCAGAUGUAGUUCAUCAUAAAUCCCCAAGGAACGAGUGAGUGAGGUCUAAAACCAGACAGAGAGACACUGUGAAGUCACAAAAGAACUAAGGAAUGAGGUCUAUUAGUCAGAAAUUCCUUUGCUCAGUACCCAAAUAAGAACCAAAGCAAAGAGAAAGUAUACAGUGAAGGGUACCUCUUUCCUGACAGAAUCCGCUACCCCAAACACCAAAUAAACGUGAAGAACUUCUGUGGCCCAACAACAGAUUUCAGCACAACUAAUGAGGCUGCAGUGCAAUGGUUCGAUCUCGACUCACUGCAACCUCUGCUUCCCGGGUUCAAGUGAUUCUCAUUCCUCAGCUUCCCAAGUAGCUGGGAUUACAGAGCCAGGACCAAGCCGGGCUCGGUGGAUCACGCCUGUAAUCCCAGCACUUUGGGAGGCCAAGGCGGGUGGAUCACAAGGUCAAGAGAUCGAGACCAUCCUGGUCAACAUGGUGAAACCCCGUCUCUACUAAAAAUAUGAAAAAUUAGCUGGGCACGGUGGCACGUGCCUGUAAUCCCAGCUACUCGGGAGGCUGAGGCAGGAGAAUUGCCUGAACCCAGGAGGCGGAGGCUGUGGUGAGCCGAGAUCGUGCCAUUGCACUCUAGCCUGGGUAACAAGAGAGAAACUCCGUCUCAAAAAAAAAAAAAAAAGAGCCUGGACCAAAAGAAACACAUAGUUGUCAUUUGGCACUUCAGAAAGAGAAAAGAGCCGCUUUAAAGGUUACAGGCAGCUCGAUUCAAAGCACUGCUUGAGAUGGCACUUACCUGAACCGUUGUUUGUUCCAUGAACGCAUCUUAUAGCAAGCUUCCAUCCUCUAAUUUUACUUCCAACCAGAAAGGUCAGCUCAUGCCCAUGUGUGAUGUAUAAACAAUUAAGAAACAGCUAUUACCUCAUUUCUGAUAGAUCUGGACUUGCUUUGUUCAUUCAAAUAGCAUUUAUUGAAUGUCCAUUCUGUGCCUCGCACGGAUGGAGGGACAUCCACAAGACAGGUCACAUCCCUGUUCCUCUAGAGUUUCCACCCUAGUGGAAGGGAUAAAUAAUAGCAACGCAAGCAAACAAAUA